UACGUAGGGGGCAAGCGUUGUCCGGAAUCAUUGGGCGUAAAGCGCGUGUAGGCGGCUCGAUAAGUCUGCUGUGAAAGUUCAGGGCUCAACCCUGAAAUGCCGGUGGAAACUGUCGGGCUAGAGUCCGGAAGAGGCGAGUGGAAUUCCUGGUGUAGCGGUGAAAUGCGCAGAUAUCAGGAGGAACACCAAUGGCGAAGGCAGAUCUCUGGGCCGUAACUGACGCUGAGGAGCGAAAGCGUGGGGAGCGAACAGG
rnacentral:rRNA from 1 species